GUGUUCUUACAAGUGCUUGCUUAGCGACUACUGACUACUGCACGUAACAGUGUUUCUAACGUCUUCUCGUAAAAGGAGAAAGCUUCGUAGCUCAACCAUGAAGGACAGCAGUCGUGUAGGGCAUGGAGCUGGAAAACUAUGAACAGCCGGUGGUUCUGAGGGAGGUCAACCGCCGCCGGCGCCGGAGGAUGAAGCCGCGCAGCUCUGCGGCCAGCCUGUCCUCCAUGGAGCUCAUCCCCAUCGAGUUCGUGCUGCCCACCAGCCAGCGCAACAGCAAGACCCCCGAAACGGCGCUGCUGCACGUGGCUGGCCACGGCAACGUGGAGCAGAUGAAGGCCCAGGUGUGGCUGCGCGCGCUGGAGACGAGCGUGGCGGCGGACUUCUACCACCGGCUCGGCCCGGACCACUUCCUCCUGCUCUACCAGAAGAAGGGGCAGUGGUACGAGAUCUACGACAAGUACCAGGUGGUGCAGACGCUGGACUGCCUGCGCUACUGGAAGAUGGUGCACAGGAGCCCGGGCCAGAUCCACGUGGUGCAGCGGUGCGCGCCCUCGGAGGAGACGCUGGCCUUCCAGCACCAGCUCACCGCCCUGAUUGGCUACGAUGUCACCGAUGUCAGCAACGUGCACGACGACGAGCUCGAGUUUACGCGCCGCCGCCUGGUCACCCCGCGCAUGGCCGAGGUGGCCGGCCGUGACCCCAAGCUCUACGCCAUGCAUCCCUGGGUGACGUCCAAGCCCCUCCCGGAGUACCUGUUGAAGAAGAUUACCAACAACUGCAUCUUCAUUAUCAUUCAUCGCAGCACCACCAGCCAGACCAUCAAGGUCUCAGCUGAUGACACCCCAGGCACCAUCCUCCAGAGCUUCUUCACCAAGAUGGCCAAGAAGAAGUCGCUGAUGGAUAUCCCGGAAAGCCAAAAUGAACAGGACUUUGUGCUGCGUGUCUGUGGCCGGGAUGAGUACCUGGUGGGUGAAACGCCCGUCAAAAACUUCCAGUGGGUGAGGCAUUGCCUCAAGAAUGGGGAGGAGAUUCACCUGGUGCUUGACACGCCUCCCGACCCAGCCCUGGACCAGGUGAGGAAAGAAGAGUGGCCGCUGGUGGAUGACUGCACGGGAGUCACCGGCUACCAUGAGCAGCUAACCAUCCACGGGAAGGACCAUGAGAGUGUGUUCACUGUCUCCCUGUGGGACUGUGACCGGAAGUUCAGGGUCAAAAUCAGAGGCAUCGAUAUCCCUGUCCUGCCCCGGAACGCUGACCUGACGGUUUUUGUGGAAGCAAAUAUCCAGCAUGGGCAGCAAGUCCUUUGCCAGAGGAGAACCAGCCCCAAACCCUUCACAGAGGAGGUGCUCUGGAAUGUGUGGCUUGAGUUCAGUAUCAAAAUCAAAGACUUACCCAAAGGGGCUCUACUGAACCUCCAGAUCUACUGUGGCAAAGCUCCCGCGCUGUCUGGCAAGGCCUCUGCAGAGACUUCCAGUUCUGAGUCCAAAGGCAAAGUUCAGCUUCUCUAUUAUGUGAACCUGCUGUUGAUAGACCACCGGUUCCUCCUGCGCCAUGGGGAAUACGUGCUCCACAUGUGGCAGAUAUCCGGGAAGGGAGAAGAUCAAGGGAGCUUCAGUGCUGACAAACUCACAUCUGCAACCAACCCAGACAAGGAGAACUCAAUGUCCAUCUCCAUUCUGCUGGACAAUUACUGUCACCCAAUAGCAUUGCCUAAGCAUCAGCCCACCCCUGACCCCGAAGGGGACCGGGUUCGAGCCGAAAUGCCCAACCAGCUUCGGAAGCAACUGGAGGCGAUCAUAGCCACUGAUCCACUUAACCCUCUCACAGCAGAAGACAAAGAAUUGCUGUGGCAUUUCAGAUAUGAAAGCCUUAAGCAUCCAAAAGCAUAUCCUAAGCUUUUUAGCUCAGUGAAAUGGGGACAGCAAGAAAUUGUGGCCAAAACAUAUCAGUUGUUAGCCAGAAGGGAGGUAUGGGAUCAAAGUGCUUUGGAUGUUGGGUUAACAAUGCAACUCCUGGACUGCAACUUUUCAGAUGAAAAUGUAAGAGCCAUUGCAGUUCAGAAACUGGAGAGCUUGGAGGAUGAUGAUGUUCUGCAUUACCUGCUACAGCUGGUUCAGGCUGUGAAGUUUGAACCAUACCAUGACAGUGCCCUUGUCAGAUUUCUGCUGAAGCGUGGUUUACGAAACAAAAGAAUUGGUCACUUCUUGUUUUGGUUCUUGAGAAGUGAGAUAGCCCAGUCCAGGCACUAUCAGCAGAGGUUCGCUGUGAUCCUGGAAGCCUACCUGAGGGGCUGUGGCAUGGCCAUGCUGCACGACUUUGCCCAACAAGUCCGAGUAAUUGAGAUGUUACAAAAGGUCACCAUUGACAUUAAAUCGCUCUCAGCUGAAAAGUAUGACGUCAGUUCCCAAGUUAUUUCACAACUUAAGCAAAAGCUUGAAAACCUACAGAAUUUGAAUCUCCCCAAAAGCUUUAGAGUUCCAUAUGACCCUGGGCUGAAGGCAGGAGCACUGGUGAUUGAAAAAUGUAAAGUGAUGGCCUCCAAGAAAAAGCCCCUGUGGCUUGAGUUUAAAUGUGCCGACCCUACAGCUCUAUCAAAUGAAACAAUUGGAAUUAUCUUUAAACAUGGUGAUGAUCUGCGCCAAGACAUGCUUAUUUUACAGAUUCUACGAAUCAUGGAGUCUAUUUGGGAGACUGAAUCCUUGGAUCUGUGCCUCCUGCCAUAUGGUUGCAUUUCAACUGGUGACAAAAUAGGAAUGAUCGAGAUCGUGAAAGAUGCCACAACAAUUGCCAAAAUUCAGCAAAGCACAGUGGGCAACACAGGAGCAUUUAAAGACGAAGUCCUGAAUCACUGGCUCAAGGAAAAAUGCCCUCUUGAAGAAAAGUUUCAGGCAGCAGUGGAGAGAUUUGUUUAUUCCUGUGCUGGCUACUGUGUGGCAACCUUUGUUCUUGGAAUAGGCGACAGGCACAAUGACAAUAUUAUGAUCACAGAGAUGGGAAAUCUAUUUCAUAUUGACUUUGGGCACAUUCUUGGGAAUUACAAAAGUUUCCUGGGCAUUAAUAAAGAGAGAGUGCCAUUUGUGCUAACCCCAGACUUCCUGUUUGUGAUGGGAACUUCUGGAAAGAAGACAAGCCUACACUUCCAGAAAUUUCAGGAUGUCUGCGUGAAGGCUUAUCUAGCCCUUCGUCAUCACACAAACCUACUGAUCAUCCUGUUCUCCAUGAUGCUGAUGACGGGAAUGCCCCAGUUAACCAGCAAAGAAGACAUUGAAUAUAUUCGGGAUGCCCUAACAGUGGGGAAGAAUGAGGAGGAUGCUAAAAAGUAUUUUCUUGAUCAGAUUGAAGUUUGCAGAGACAAAGGAUGGACUGUGCAGUUUAACUGGUUCCUACAUCUUGUUCUUGGCAUCAAACAAGGAGAGAAACAUUCAGCUUAAUACUUUGAGCUAGAAUUAAAAACUAGGCAGUGUUCUCAAGCUUUAGAUCAGCAUGUCAGUCAUUGACCUUGCAUUUAAAAUGUAAAGGGACAUUAUGAAAGCUGGCACUUCCGAAAUACGGCUCUCUUCCUAGCUGAACCCCUCACUGGAGAAAAAUGUUGGCGUGGCUGACUGUUUCAGUAAUGUUCAGUUCUAGGUCUAUUUGCAGGUGUGUUUUUUCUCCUUUGUCUCAGUGAUGUUGGAGAACAUUCCAAGUUUAAACAGACUGAUUACUUCCUCAUUGUGCCUGACGUUUUGACUAUCUUCAUAUUGACUACUUUUGGAAAUUCUUUAAAAUAAUUGGUGAAGAAUUAUGGGUAGAAUAAUCUAUUUUCAUUUGGGUUUACUCUGAAUUUUGGUUAUCCUUGUGUUCCUCAAGCUCUUUACAGGAAAAUAUGUAAUCAUUGUAACCUGUGUCUCCUUCCUGAGGUGAUGCUUCCAAACAUCCUCUCCGUGUCUGCCGAUGUUAGUGAUGUGCUAAAAGCCAGGAAAGCAAGUCAGUCUUUUCAGUGUCUUCUGUAAUUAGGUUCUUUUACAGUAUACAACUGAGACACACAAACACAAAAUGGAAAAUCUGAACCUUUGUGGCCAUAACCCUGGCCCUUCUCUGCUGGUCUGGUUCCAGGGUUAUGAAUAGGAAAAAUAGAGAUGAGACCAUUUGUCUCAACUCUGCCCACAGAGGGAAUUAUCAAGUACAAUUAUUAUAACCUUCUCCAGCAUAGAAACUACUGUAACUAAAGGGACUCAGUUUCUCCCUCUACAUUGUCUUCCUUUCUCCUGGCUUCCCUUCUUCCUCCAUUGCCACCCUCCCACAACUCUUUAUCCAGAGUUGUGAAAUCUUCAAGAACAUCUUUACCCUGGAAUUCAAAAGUUAAUUGAAAAAGAAUUUCUCCUCUAGGGUUACUAGAAUUUUAGGUACUUACUUGUAAAAAUGGGGUGCAGUUUUUUAAAAGUAUAUUAUUAAAGGAGACAUUCUAGAAAAUAUGGAUUAGUUUCCACAUGCCUUAAUUUUAAAUUUUGGUCUGAGCAGCUUUUUCUUUCUUUUUUAACAGAAGAAGAUAUUUGAUAUCUAAAAAGUGCUCCAAGUUAGGAAGAACACUACUUGCCUUAUCCAGCUCUAGUUUAAAGGACUUUUCAACUUCAAUACAUUCUUCAGAUUUCCUAAAAAUAAUUGAAAUGUCUUCUUCAAAAACUAUUUUUAUCUCUUAAAUAUUUUGCUAUUUAUUGGAAGUAUUGUUUAACCUUAGAGAAAGAUUGUUAAAUUAUUUAUAAAAUAUUUUAAAAUUACCUAUAGUUAAUACUUUACAUAGAAAUAACUGUUAAUGGUGUCUAUGUUUAAGUAUAAUCAGAUUAAAAUUUAUGUUUAAUUUUUAAGUUUUCUAAAUAGAUACUUGUUUGACUUUGCUAUAGCCCAAAACUUUCCUUUUGUGGAUGCAAAAGCCCAGACCAUGCCCUG